rnacentral:rRNA from 1 species
AUUGAACGCUGGCGGCAUGCCUUACACAUGCAAGUCGAACGGCAGCACGGGUGCUUGCACCUGGUGGCGAGUGGCGAACGGGUGAGUAAUACAUCGGAACAUGUCCUGUAGUGGGGGAUAGCCCGGCGAAAGCCGGAUUAAUACCGCAUACGAUCUACGGAUGAAAGCGGGGGCCCUUCGGGCCUCGCGCUAUAGGGUUGGCCGAUGGCUGAUUAGCUAGUUGGUGGGGUAAAGGCUUACCAAGGCGACGAUCAGUAGCUGGUCUGAGAGGACGACCAGCCACACUGGAACUGAGACACGGCCCAGACUCCUACGGGAGGCAGCAGUGGGGAAUUUUGGACAAUGGGCGAAAGCCUGAUCCAGCAAUGCCGCGUGUGUGAAGAAGGCCUUCGGGUUGUAAAGCACUUUUGUCCGGAAAGAAAUCCUUGGCUCUAAUACAGUCGGGGGAUGACGGUACCGGAAGAAUAAGCACCGGCUAACUACGUG